UUCCUGAUGGCUCAGAUGGUAAAGAAUCUGCCUGCAAUGCAGGAGACCUGGGCUCGAUUCCUGGUAUGGGAA
rnacentral:tRNA from 1 species